rnacentral:rRNA from 1 species
AGAGUUUGAUCAUGGCUCAGAAUGAACGCUGGCGGCGUGGAUUAGGCAUGCAAGUCGAACGCGAAAGUGGGGGCAACCCUGCGAGUAGAGUGGCGAAAGGGUGAGUAAUGCUUGGAUGACCUGCCUUCGAGACGGGGACAACAGUUCGAAAGGACUGCUAAUACCCGAUGGUCCUUUCCGGAUGCGUCCGGGACGGUAAAUGGUUGAUUCCGCUCGAUGAGGGGUCCAAGUCCUAUCAGCUAGUUGGUGAGGUGACGGCUCACCAAGGCGAUGACGGGUAGCCGGACUGAGAGGUCGACCGGCCACAUGGGAACUGAGACACUGUCCUGACUCCUACGGGAGGCUGCAGUCGAGAAUCUUCUGCAAUGGGCGCAAGCCUGACAGAGCGACGCCGCGUGGAGGACGAAGGCCCUCGGGUUGUAAACUCCUGUCACAUGUUAUGAACCGCAUGGGUUACACCCAUGUCUGACAAAAGCAUGAGAGGAAGUCACGGCUAACUUCGUGCCAGCAGCCGCGGUAAGACGAAGGUGGCUAGCGUUAUUCGGAUUUACUGGGCAUAAAGCGCGCGUAGGCGGCUUGGCAAGUCGGAGGUGAAAGCCUGCAGCUCAACUGCGGUGUGCCUCCGAAACUGCCGAGCUUGAGUGCAGGAGGGGUAGUUGGAACUCCAGGUGUAGCGGUGAAAUGCGUAGAUAUCUGGAGGAACACCAGAGGCGAAGGCGAACUACUGGACUGCAACUGACGCUGAGGCGCGAAAGCUAGGGGAGCAAACAGGAUUAGAUACCCUGGUAGUCCUAGCUGUAAACGAUGGGCACUAGGCAGUGGGGAUCCGAUGUCCUCACUGUCGAAACAAAUGCGAUAAGUGCCCCGCCUGGGGAGUACGGCCGCAAGGCUGAAACUCAAAGGAAUUGACGGGGGCUCACACAAGCGGUGGAGCAUGUGGUUUAAUUUCGAAGCAACGCGCAGAACCUUACCAGGGUUUGAAAUG